AGCUCAUGUCGUAAAAGUUCUUGGAAUCCCUUCGCUCACUUCGUCUCAGAACCUACUCUACUUUCACUUCCGGCUCUCGAUUUUCAGGUCAGUUACUCAAUUCUCUCUUUGAAUUUUUCGGAUCUGAAUUUUGAAAUUGCUCGUUAUAGCUCGUUUACAGGUCGAGGAAGGUCUCGCUGACCUUGUCACCGGUGAAGGAAAGGACGGGGAUGGUGGCGGUUAGGGUUAGGGGUCGGUUGUCGCCGCCGAGGCUGAAUCCAAGCCAGCUUCUGAUUCCGGGAAGCCGUUCAGCGUCGUCGUGGAGUUUAAUAACUGGCGGAAGCAGCCUCAUUUGGCUGAGGCCGUGGCGGCGAUUCGGGCCUUGGCGUCUGUUAUAAGUUCCAGCGAGGCCCUGAUGGAGCUCGAAAUUGAGCUCAAGAAGGCUUCUGAUUCCCUAAAGGUUUGAGACAUGUCGUCUGAUUUCAAGUUAGAGGGAGUUAAAGGCCAUGAAAUUAAGGACCCAGAAGUUUGUUCUCCAAAUGGAAUACAUAAUAUUCUUGCAGAGCGAAGAACUAUGACUCUCAGUGACAGAUUAUCCCUGCUAUCAGCAGUGGCAUUACAGAUAUCUCCUUUGACACUGUAGGCUAUACUUGGCAAUUUUCAAAUUGCAUACUAACAGCAAGCUACUCGAUAAUAACUUUUGGAAAUGUUGAAAAGAUUGAUAUUGGUGAAGGGAGUGGAGAAUUCAAAUGCCUGCCAGGUCCUGCACUGUAUUUGUGAAGAGGAUCAUAGGCAUCCCUGGACUCCCGUCUUUGGUUCAGGGGCUUGAGGUUGGAUCUCAAUUUUGCAUGCCCCUGUCUUGGUGCCCCAGAUUCGGAACACAGUCACAUAGGAAAACAAGGCUCUAUGAUGUACGACUUCUUUAUGGGAAAUGGUUGGCAUGUGGCAUCAUAUCAGCCCAUAAUCAGCCCCUUCAAGUAAUCAUGUAAUAAAUCUGAAGACAAUUCUAAUCUAGCUAGCAUGUUCUAUAUUUGAAAAACGGUUAAUUAUACUAGGAUUUUGUAAUAUGAAGUUAUUUAAUUGAUAUAAUUUAUUACAUAAAUGCUUUUGUUUA